UAUCCAACUGGCAAUUGGACAUCAAUCUGCUGCUAGGUUGACAGACGUCUUGAGACGUCUGUCAAUCUGGUCAAGGUUUUAUCUUAUGAAUUGUCCAAACGCCAAACUGGUAAACCGAAAUGGUCCUAGUUGCCAUGGAUUACACACAGACUGGAUGUCCUGCCAAGUGGUGGAACAAGCAGCAUUCAGACUAUGUGCCAUCAAAAUGUGAAUUCUCUGCAAUUCACAUGUCUGUUGGUGACUCACAGAAAAACCUUUGAAGAUACCAUAGGGCACAAAAGAUUUCCCAGAGGUCCUCCAACACUGACCAUGUGUCAGUUGAUUCCCUAGUUGAAACAACACAAGGUGCUGGGAAAUGUGAGCAAGUGGAAGACACAUUCAACUUCGGUGAAAUAGUUCCAGAUGGUGAAGAUGCUAGCACAAAUACAGAUGGUGGAUGUUCCGCGGUAACAGAAGAUGUGAAGCGCCUGAGAAUCAUCAUCAACAUGUUCCGGGACGCCAAUGAACGUCUGACUGAAGAAAAUGCGGCUCUUAAAGCAGAGAAUGAGGAGCUGAAGAAAUCAUGUAAAGUAGACCCAUAUGAUGAAUGGCGUGGGAAUGAGGAGAAGCUCAAGUUUUAUACUGGUGUCCCAUCUCUUGCAGCAUUUCUGUUCCUUUUACGCAUCAUGCACAUCUCUGGCUUCAGUAAGUUUCGUGGCUUAUCAGCUGAAUCCACGUUACUGGCCGUAUUACUUAAACUCAAGCUAGGUUUAAGCAAUUAAGACAUUGCUUACGCCCCAUAGGGGCACCGGCUUCGGCCGGUGUAGGGGACUAGCGCCCCCUCGGGUCCCAGCUCCGGUAACGGGUGGACAGCGCAAACUGGUCCUCUCAGGGCGUAGCGACCCUGCCGGUACGUGAGCUCCUGCUCCUUGUCUCGCCCGCUUCCUCCACAUUACCCGCACUCCCGCAUCCGGCCCUAUCACAACUCCUCAUCCGCGUUUUACCGGGGUCGCCGUGCCCCCUCGCCCACGUCUCCGGGUUGAUCGGAUCCUGGUGGCUGAGGGGCGCGGCGUGCGGGUCAGUCACGGCAUGACGGCCGUGUCACGUGACUGUGACAACGGCCGCACAUGACGGCCGUUCAGUUCGUGGGACUUCUGAGGUCGUUUGGCCUGUCGGUUGUUCCCUCGGUCCGAACGCCCGACUCCCA